CUAGCGACUUCAGAGUUUGAUCCUGGCUCAGGACGAACGCUGGCGGCGUGCUUAACACAUGCAAGUCAACGGGGAUUAGUUGAUAGAGAGCUUCGGCAGGAAAUUUGAUUAAUUCGAGUGGCGGACGGGUGAGUAACGUGUGAGCAACCUGUCCCAGACAGGGGGAUAACACUUGGAAACAGGUGCUAAUACCGCAUAAGACCACGGGAUCACAUGGUUCUGGGGUAAAAGGAGCAAUCCGGCUUGGGGUGGGCUCGCGUCCGAUUAGCCAGUUGGCGGGGUAACGGCCCACCAAAGCGACGAUCGGUAGCCGACCUGAGAGGGUGAACGGCCACAUUGGAACUGAGAGACGGUCCAA
rnacentral:rRNA from 1 species